rnacentral:lncRNA from 1 species
AGGAAGGCCACAGGUCUUGCUUGUUAACCGGCGAAAUCUAUGGGCCUCAAAGCAUGGGCUCAGGCCCAGUGAAGCCCUUGACCUCUGGAACAAAGAAUGGUCCAUGAGCCUGAAAGAAAUCCUUUCUGAGAUGUCUGUGCCAAAGAAAGCAGCAGACUUUUUGGCUAUGCUUUUUUGUUUUGUUUUGUUUUUUGUUUUUGGCUAUGUUUUUAUCUAAAGAGGAAAGUGAAACUCAUCUGAGCUGAGGGCCUGCCUCGUGGGACAGGGUCCAUCCUUCGCAAGGACACCAGAGGGGAAAUUAUGGCAAGAGAAAGAACUGAAAAAGGUACGUGACUACAUUCAAGGCACUUUCACAUUUGGAAAUGCAUUUAAUCACUGAAACCUUAUAAAAAAAGGAGGACCGAAUACUUAUUUUUACUUUAUUAAUGAGGUUCAGGGAGCUGCUAAUAAACCCUGGUCACUUUAAUUACACUUUCGAAAUUAUAGAAAAAAAUAACAUUACUUUGCUACAUUAAAAGAACGGGUAAAAAUUGGCUGUUUUAUUAGUUUAAAUCCUGUCAUGGUUCAGCAGUUAGCAAACCUGACUAGCAUCCACGAAGAUGCGGGUUCGAUCCCUGUUCUUGCUCAGUGAAUUAAGGAUCUGGCAUUGCCUUGAGCUGUUGUAUAGGUCGCAGAUGUGGUUCAGGUCCCGUGUUGCUGUGGCUCUGGUUCUGGCAUAGGCCAGCAGCUACAGUUCCAAUUGGACUCCUAGCCUGGGAACCUCCAUAUGCCGCUGGUGUGGCCCUAAAAAGACAAAAAGACCAAAAAUUAAUAAAAUUUUUAAAAAUCAGCCUGAAAAAUCACUUAACAUUCUCACAGAAUUAUUUUUUUAAGUUCCCAUAGGUCUGUGAUUAUUGUUAAUUGCUAUAGGCUGAUAACAUUUCCUAAUUCAUUUAGAUCCUUUUCCCUUGUUAGGUAUGAUGGUUAAAAGAGCUGAGGGGAAGUGUUCAUUUAUUUAUUGAACAAAUAUUUAAGUAGCUGCUCCUGUGUGGUCAAGUGCUGUGUUAGAUCCAGGACAUUCAAAAGUGAAUAAGAUGAACACAUUUGCUUUCACAGAGCAGCUCACAGCUUCCAGGGGAAUAUAGGCAGCAAGAGGCAAUUACGAGGCUGGCAACUACAAGGGCGGAUGUCCUGGAUGCUGUGGGAGCACAGAGCGGGGAGCUAACCUUCCCGCCACCAGUCAGCCCCUGCCUGCUGCCACAGCAAGGUCAGAAGAGCAGCUGCCAGUUAAGGUCAAGUCACUCCAGGAAGACUAGAAUGAGUUGAAUGGCCACAACUUAACCAUCUGCAAAACCAUUAUAGUGGCCAGACGUGAGCCAUCCAUGACUGUUUGAUAGAACUUGAGAAUUCAGGGGUCUUGGAGCUUCAGAUACUUUAGGAUUUGGAGCCCCAAACUAUUUUGAUUCCAUGAUAACUUUACCAAAGUCUUGUUUGCCAUUCCCUAGGCCCGAAGGGCCAAAACCAGCAAUGUUCAUACCUCUGUUGUCCUUGUGGUGACAUUGGUGAUGACAGCAACGGUGGUGCUGGUUUUCACAGCUUCAACAACUGAGCAUCUUUGUGCUCACUUGAUAAAUGUUAUUUCAUUGAUCUUCACAGAAGUCCUAUAGGUAGUUUUUUUGGGUCAGAAACUAAACCAGAGUUAGGUAACUUGCUUGUGCUCAGCUUACUAAUAAACAGAAGGAACCACUUCUCUAACUACAAGAAUUAUACCAUUCAGACUGUUAAGACCAGUGAGAUUUUGCUAGUUUUCCCCUAAAGAUGCCAGUGGUGGGUUAUUCUGUUUAACUUAUAUAUGCCCUGCUGCUUUUAAUAAAGUUGUUAAGGGAGUCCCUUGGUGGCCUACCAGUUAAGGAUUCGGUGCAGUCAUUGCUGUGGCACAGGUUUGAUUCCUGGCCCAGGGAAUUUCUGCAUGCUGAGGGUGUGGCCAAAAAAAAAAAAAGUGUUUGCGGUAACUUACAAUAAAAGCACUACAAUAUGGCUUAAAAAUAUAGGUACCAUUUAAUGGGAACUAAAGCCAAUGUGCUCACUGUUGCUGUGAUGCUCAGAUAGGCUAUGAGCUUCCCGGCAGCCAUGGUAAAAAUGGAGGUAUUGUAAGUUGCAAAGUUAUUAUUUUGGAGAUACAGUGCAUAUUUUUCCUGACACUAAUUUAGAAAAGUAAUUUUUUAUGAUGGUACUAAGUUAUGUAAAGAAUAAUAUUCUCAGAGUUCCAUGGUGGCUCAGCAUAUGGAGGUUCCCAGCCUAGGGGGGUCCAAUUGGCGUUGUAGCCCCCGGCCUACACCAGAGCCACAGCAAUGUGGGAUCCGAGUCACGUCUGCGACCUACACCACAGCUCACGGCAAUGCCGGAUCCUUAACCCACUGAGCAAGGGCAGGGACUGAACCCGCAACCUCAUGGUUCCUAGUCAGAUUCGUUAACCACUGCGCCACGAUGGGAACUCCCCAGUAGUUCAUUUCUUGCUCCAUGUAACAAAUGACCCAUCUAUGAGGCCUUUUCCUUCUCUGUCAGCUGAUCAUAAAGGAAUUUUCCUUGUGAAUAUAGAUAUGAGCUGGCGCUAGAGUGAUGGAUGAUGGCAAGGGGUCUCAGCCACCCGCUGAGCUGGUGCCGCUUCCCUGUGUGCUCAGGUGUUGCUCAUGCCCAAACCUGACAUCACUACUUCCAUCCUUCAAAGGAAUGCUGGUGAACCUACCUGAGCUUUGGCUUAGGGGGUAUAGGAUAAUCCAGCUCAUGAUGAGCGGCUUUGGUAGGAAUCAUUUCUAGAAUGGCCCCCUAAAUGUCCCGCCUUAAUCCUCAGAACUUUUGAAUAUGAGUGCUAUCCCUCCUGUGAUUGUUACCUGGCACAUUAAGAUAGGGGAGUUCCUGGUAUGGCUCAGUAGUAAUGAACCCGACUAGCAUCCAUGAGGAUUUGGGUUCAAUUCCUGCCUCGCUCAGUGGGUUAAGGAUCCAGCAUUGCUGUGAGUUUUGGUGUAGGUCACAGAUGGGGCUUGGAUCUGAUGUUGCUGUGGCUGUGGUGUAGGUCAGCAGCUGUAGCUCCAAUUCGACCCCUAGCCUGGAAAAUUCCAUAUGCCACAGGUACAGCCCUUGAAAAGCAAUAAAUAAGUAAGUAAGUAAGUAAAUAAAUAAAGAAAGAAAACUUAAGAUAAGAUUAUCCAGGUGGGCCUGGUCUAAUGACACAAGCCUUUCAAAGUGGAGAGCUUUCUCUGGUAGCAGAAGAAGUCUGAGGGAUUUGAAGUGGGGGGAAAUUAGAUGUAUUGUUGCUGGCUUGAGAAUGAUGGGGGCCACAUUAGAAGGAAUACAGGGGCCUUAAGGAACUGAGAAAUGCCCUCAGUUGACAGCCAACAAAAACAGUCCUACAACCUCAAGGAAUUAAAUUUGGCCAAAACUUGAAUAAGGCUGGAAGCAAUUUUUUUAUAAUUAAGAUAAUUUGAUUUACAAUGUUGUGCUGGUGUCUGCUGUCAUAAUACAUGUAUCGUUUGUGUCAUAUUUUAGAUUCCACAUGUAAGUGAUAUCAUGUGGUAUUUGUCCUUUUUUCUGACUUACUUCACUUAAUAUGAGACUCUCUAGUUGCUUCUGUGUUUCUGCAAAUGGCAUUUUUUUGUCCUAUUUAUGGCUGAGUAGUAUUCCAUUGUAUAUAUGUACCACAUCUUCUUAAUCCAUUUAUCUGUUGAUGGAUAUUUAUGUUGUUUCCAUGUCUUGGCUAUUGUGAAUAGUGCUGCAAUGAACAUGAGGGUGCAUGUAUCUUUUUGAAUUGUAGUUUUGUCUGGAUAUAUGCCCAGGAUUGGGAUUGCUGGGUCAUAUGGUAGUUCUAUAUUUAGUUUUAUGAGGUACCACAUACUGUUUUCCAUAGUGGUUGUACCAAUUUAUAUUCCCCAAAACAGCGUGGGAGGGUUCCCUUUUCUCCACAUCCUCUGCAGCAUUUGUUAUCUGUAGACUUGUUAAUGAUGGCCAUUCUGACCAGUGUGAGGAAGCAGAUUCUUACUUAGAGCCUCCAGUUAAGAGUUCAGCCUUGUCAACACCUUAAUUUUGGCCAAAUGGUACCCUAAGCAGAGAAUCUACCUGAGCCAUCCUGGACUUUUGACCCAUGUAACUGUUAAGCUAAUAAAUGUGUGUUCCUUUAAGCAGUUACAUUUGCAGUAAUUUGUUACACAUCAAUAGAAAUAUAAUACAGCAUCUCUGGCCACAUAGGCACUUGAUAUUCCAUGGUCAGCAAAUUCAGAAAUUCUGUCUCUACCAGGGCCCAGCUAUUUUUCAUAUGAAUAUAAUUCUGUGCUGUACAUGUCAUGGCUGUUCUCAGGUGUGUACAUUGUGAUUCUCCUACUGGGGCUUGCAAUGACUUCUACACAGCAUCUUCUUCUUCUGGAGGCCUGUCUAGCACCAUAGGGUCUUCUGUGUCACAUGCUCCAAGCAGCAGGGUGACUGGUACACGGCCUGGACCUACUGUAGAAUCCAGUCCUAGUCUGUACUUUGGUCAAGGCUGGCAGCCUUCUGUAUCACUUGACAGAUGCAGUAGCCCAAGUGUGAAAUAAAUAUGCUGCCUCCAGAACUGAAAAGAGGUCAAGCAAGUGUUAUGUUUCUUUUUUUGGUGGUGGAUGAUGCAAGAUGCAAUCAUUUGUCUGUUACUUUGCAGGGGAUGUUCUGGCAGGCCUCAUAUCACUGGAUCCUUAUCAAUUCAGUAACCCAGCAGGUCCCUGAAUCUUUAUAAGAUUUACUAUCUCACCAUUUGGACUCCAACAUAUUUCUUGAUCAUUUACUAUUGUCAAUAUGAUGUUAUCAAAAUAGAGGACUAUUGUGAUGUCCUGCAGGAUAUCCAGCUUGUCCAAGUCCCUUUGGACAAUUUUAUGACAGAUGACAGGAGAGUUAACAAAGUUCUGGGACAAGACUAUGGACAUACACUGCUGACUGCCCCAUGUGAAUGAAAAUGACAUUUAAUGGUCUACCUAGGAGCCUCUGCUGUGGUGCAACGGGAUUGUCAGCAUCUUGGGAGCACUGGGUCGCGGGUUUGAUCCCCGACCCAGCAGAGUGGGUUAAAGAUCUGGCAUUGCCGCAGCUGCAGCUGGGAUCUGAUCCCUGGCCCAAGAGUUCCAUAUGCUGUAGGACAGCAAAAAAA